rnacentral:misc_RNA from 1 species
AACAAGGCGUACCUGCGGACCUGCGGAAGGAUCAUUACAUGGCGGAGAAGGUGGGCACCUGGCAAACUCCAGGUUGUGAUGCCUUCACGCUCUUCCACCCUUGUCUAUUUGCACCUUCUGUCGUUCCCUCGGCGGGUUUCGACCCGCCGGCGGCAACAUUGAAAAACCUUUUUUGCAGUCAGCAUCCAAUUCUUCUGAUCAAAAUAUCAAAUCGUUACAACUUUUAACAACGGAUCUCAG